GAUGAACGCUAGCUACAGGCUUAACACAUGCAAGUCGAGGGGAAACGACAUCGAAAGCUUGCUUUUGAUGGGCGUCGACCGGCGCACGGGUGAGUAACGCGUAUCCAACCUGCCCACCACUUGGGGAUAACCUUGCGAAAGUAAGACUAAUACCCAAUGAUAUCCCACGAAGACAUCUGAAUGGGAUUAAAGAUUUAUCGGUGAUGGAUGGGGAUGCGUCUGAUUAGCUUGUUGGCGGGGUAACGGCCCACCAAGGCAACGAUCAGUAGGGGUUCUGAGAGGAAGGUCCCCCACAUUGGUACUGAGACACGGUCCAAACUCCUACGGGAGGCAGCAGUGAGGAAUAUUGGUCAAUGGGCGAGAGCCUGAACCAGCCAAGUAGCGUGCAGGAAGACGGCCCUAUGGGUUGUAAACUGCUUUUAUAAGGGAAUAAAGUGGGUCACGUGUGACUUUUUGCAUGUACCUUAUGAAUAAGGACCGGCUAAUUCCGUG
rnacentral:rRNA from 1 species